rnacentral:rRNA from 1 species
AGUGAACGCUGGCGGUAGGCCUAACACAUGCAAGUCGAACGGCAGCACAGGAGAGCUUGCUCUCUAGGUGGCGAGUGGCGGACGGGUGAGGAAUACAUCGGAAUCUGCCCAGUCGUGGGGGAUAACGUAGGGAAACUUACGCUAAUACCGCAUACGACCUUCGGGUGAAAGAGGGGGAUCGCAAGACCUCUCGCGAUUGGAUGAGCCGAUGUCGGAUUAGCUAGUUAGCGGGGUAAUGGCCCACCAAGGCGACGAUCCGUAGCUGGUCUGAGAGGAUGAUCAGCCACACUGGAACUGAGACACGGUCCAGACUCCUACGGGAGGCAGCAGUGGGGAAUAUUGGACAAUGGGCGCAAGCCUGAUCCAGCCAUACCGCGUGGGUGAAGAAGGCCUUCGGGUUGUAAAGCCCUUUUGUUGGGAAAGAAAUCUUUCAGGCUAAUACCCUGGGAGGAUGACGGUACCCAAAGAAUAAGCACCGGCUUACUUCGUG